rnacentral:tRNA from 2 species
CGGUGCCAUAGGCGGCGGUGCGCGGCGCCUGGCCGGUCUCGCGCACCGCCAGCGCCACCAGCGGGUGCUCCUCCGGCAGUUCCGGCGCGCCAGGAUCGGCC